CACUGCUGGUAGUUUUGGGAAUCACCCAUGUGCAGGCGACACAUGAGGCAGUAAGGAACUCUGCAGGGGUCCCUGAGAUUUGGAAAUGUAGGGAAGAGCAAUGGAUUGAGGUCCGAACCUGGAGGAUCUGCUAUACGCAGAGCUGGGAGGAGGGACAGAGUCAGUACCAGAGUCGGAAAAAAGCAGGGUGGGAAGGGGAACCUGAGUCAGGAGACUUGCCUGGCAGGCGCUGCCCUGCCAGCAGAGGCCUGACAGUGGUUUCCAUGAACUGCAUCCCUGCUGUGGGCUGGGACAGGGCCACUGACACAGUAUCGGAGCACAGAGGGGGAAAGGAGCAGGAGGGAUUCCAACUCUGCCAGUUAGCAGCUGUGUGGCUUUGGGCAUGUUACUUAACCUCUCUGAGCCUCAUUUAUUUCAUCCAUAAAAUGGAAAUAAAAAUAAUACUUUUGUCAAAGGCGCAUUGUGAAUAUUUAGAUCCUCAGAAUAAUGCCUGGCUUGUAGCAAAUGGUAGCUGGAGGAAAAGGAAGAGAAAACCAAAGUCAGCAGCUGAAGGAUUUUCAUAUUAGAACUUCUCUGGACCUAUCUGGCAGAUGCAGAAGCACACACACACGGAGGGGCAUGGAUUUGCCCCACCCUUAGACAUGUUGUGUCUUCUCCUGGAUCCUUGGUCCCAGGUGCCUUACCUGAGCUCAGGUGAAUGUGGCAAGCAGAGCCCUCUGGUGGUGUGAAUGCUGUGUGGUGCCCGUGCUCCUGGUGACACAGGGCCCUCACAAUCCCUCCCUCCACACUCUCCUCUCAUGUCCUCCCAGCCUUAUUUUCUCGUUCCUCUUCCUCCCAGGCCCGGAACUUGCCUGUUUGGCUCCCCAACCAGGACGAGCCCCUUCCUGGCAGCAGCUGUGCCAUCCGAGUUGGGGAUAAAGUCCCCUAUGACAUCUGCCGGCCAGACCACUCAGUGUUGACCCUGCAGCUGCCUGUGACAGCCUCCGUGAGAGAGGUGAUGGCAGCGUUGGCCCAGGAGGAUGGCUGGACCAAGGGGCAGGUGCUGGUGAAGGUCAAUUCUGCAGGUGAUGCCAUUGGCCUGCAGCCAGAUGCCCGUGGUGUGGCCACAUCUCUGGGGCUCAAUGAGCGUCUCUUUGUUGUCAACCCACAGGAAGUGCAUGAGCUGAUCCCACACCCUGACCAGCUGGGGCCCACUGUGGGCUCUGCUGAGGGGCUGGACCUGGUGAGUGCCAAGGACCUGGCAGGCCAGCUGACGGACCACGACUGGAGCCUCUUCAACAGUAUCCACCAGGUGGAGCUGAUCCACUAUGUGCUGGGCCCCCAGCAUCUGCGGGAUGUCACCACCGCCAACCUGGAGCGCUUCAUGUGCCGCUUCAAUGAGCUGCAGUACUGGGUGGCCACCGAGCUGUGUCUCUGCCCCGUGCCCGGCCCCCGAGCCCAGCUGCUCAGGAAGUUCAUUAAGCUGGCGGCCCACCUCAAGGAGCAGAAGAAUCUCAAUUCCUUCUUUGCCGUCAUGUUUGGCCUCAGCAACUCGGCCAUCAGCCGCCUAGCCCACACCUGGGAGCGGCUGCCUCACAAAGUCCGGAAGCUGUACUCCGCCCUCGAGAGGCUGCUGGAUCCCUCAUGGAACCACCGGGUGUACCGACUGGCCCUCGCCAAGCUCUCCCCUCCUGUCAUCCCCUUCAUGCCCCUUCUUCUCAAAGACAUGACCUUCAUUCAUGAGGGAAACCACACACUAGUGGAGAAUCUCAUCAACUUUGAGAAGAUGAGAAUGAUGGCCAGAGCCGCGCGGAUGCUGCACCACUGCCGAAGCCACAACCCUGUGCCUCUCUCACCACUCAGAAGCCGAGUUUCCCACCUCCACGAGGACAGCCAGGUGGCGAGGAUUUCCACAUGCUCGGAGCAGUCCCUGAGCACCCGGAGUCCAGCCAGCACCUGGGCUUAUGUCCAGCAGCUGAAGGUCAUUGACAACCAGCGGGAACUCUCCCGCCUCUCCCGAGAGCUGGAGCCAUGAGGAGGGGCUGGGACUGGAGCUGGAGCAGGCACUUGCAGCCAGGAAAGCCAGGGUGUGCCGGGCCAAGAUACUCACAGGCUGGCCACAGCUGGGCAAGGCUCUCCGUGGAGUGGACUCGAGUCCCUGGAGCAGGCAGUGUGGAGGCAGCCAUCCCCUGUGAUGACUGGCAGCUAAGGAGGACCUCGGAGUGGACCUGAGCCAGGAAUAACGAAUGACCCAAGGCCAAGGAAGGGAGGACAGAGAGACCCCAGGAGUGGGUGGAGAGUGGAGUGCGCUGGGACGUUGUGUGCAAUAGAGAGCUCUCCACACCA
rnacentral:sRNA from 1 species